GACGAACGCUGGCGGCGUGCUUAACACAUGCAAGUCGAACGAAGUGGUGAACGGGUGAUUAACGCGUAAUCAACCUGCCCUUCAGAGGGGAACAACAGUUUGAAACGACUGCUAAUACCGCAUACUGAAGGAGGGGAUUGAGUCUGAUUAGCUAGUUUGAGGGGUAACGGCCCAACAAGGCGAUGAUCAGUAGCCGGUCUGAGAGGAUGAACGGCGACAUUGGGACUGAGACACGGCCCAGACUCCUACGGGAGGAAGCAGUGGGGAAGCUUACGCAAUGGACGAAAGUCUGACGGUGCAACGCCGCGUGAGUGAUGACGGCCUUCGGGUUGUAAAGCUCUGUUAAUCGGGACGCGGUACCGGAAUAGAAAGCCACGGCUAACUACGUGCCAGCAGCCGCGGUAAUAC
rnacentral:rRNA from 1 species